CGUUUUAUUUAAAUCAUGAGACAAAUUUGCUAAACACAUGCUUUAUUGAAUUCUACGGUAUGUGUUGUUGUUAGUGCGGUGUUUUAUUUCUUCGCGGGCCAGGUGAACUUUGUCUCGCCCCUAAUUCUUCUUUUAUAUAGUUCUAGAGUACUAUUCUAUUUCAUUCAAUUUUGUGCUUUUGGAAAUCAAAUUGGAUAUUUUAUUUACUUAUUCCAUCAAAUAAAAUGCCACGACCAAGGCGUACUAAUAUUAGUCGCCGUACACGUAAUGCGUUUACUUUAAGGUCGAAUAGAACAUUGCAAAGUGAGGAAGAGCGUGCACAGAUUAAUGCAGAUAGAAGAGAUCGAUAUGCACGAAAUCGAAACUCACCUAAUCGUUCUCUUGAUAGGCAGCUAUGAUGGAUUACAAUAUCCAUUAUUGUACUGGAAAGGUGAUGACGCCUAUAAUAUCCUUAUACCAAUGAUAGAUCCACAAACCGGUCGUGACAUUAAAAAAAAGUUAGUGCGAACUAUUAUUCGUACAGAUUCAUGAUUCGCCCACAAGAAGACAAUUUCAUUUUGAGAUGUUGCAAACUUUUCAAUCAAUACGCUGUUGACAUGUACGCAAAAAUAGAAACAGAACGUCUGAAUUACCUUCGAUUCAAUCAAACAAAAUUACGAUCGGAAGAAUAUAUACAUUUGCGAGAUGCAAUAGUGAAUGAUGGUAAUGCAAGUGAUAUCGGACGUUUUACAAUAUUACCAUCCACAUAUGUCGGCAGUCCGCGUCACAUGCAUGAAUACACGCAAGAUGCAAUGUCAUACGUUCGCAAAUAUGGUCGACCAGACUUAUUUAUAACAUUUACAUGCAAUCCACAGUGGGCGGACAUAAAUGAUAAUUUAUUUGUUGGUCAAAUACCAAUUGAUCGGCACUAUAUAACUGCGCGUGUAUUUCGACAGAAAUUAAAGGCAUUGAUAGAUUUGAUUGUCAAAUUUAAAAUAUUUGGAAACGUAUGUUGCUGGAUGUAUUCGAUUGAAUGGCAGAAACGAGGGUUACCGCACGCUCACAUAUUGAUAUAUCAGCCGAAAUUCCAAAUCAAAACAGCGAUCCACAAUUAUUUUAAGUUGUUACGAAAAACGUGAUUCACGGACCAUGCGGUGAACUAAAUUUAGAUUUGCCAUGCAUGAUCGAUGGAAAAUGCUCAAAGCGGUAUCCAAGAGCAUUGAACAUAACAGGUAAUGACGGAUACCCAUCGUAUCGACGUCGGUCACCAGACGAUUUUGGCUGGAAGUUGGGUAGUGCCAUAUUUACCGCUAUUAUCAAAAAUAUGUGAAGCUCACAUUAACGUUGAAUAUGGUAAUUCAGUGAAGUCAAUCAAAUAUAUAUGCAAAUAUGUCAACAAGGGAAGCGACAUUACUGUUUUUUGAAUAACUGGUGACAAUAGAUAUGAUGAAAUUUCACAAUAUCAAAUGGGACGUUACAUAAGCACUAAUGAAGCUCUUUGGAGAAUUUAUUCAUUUCCAAUGCAUGAGCGAUAUCCUGCUGUGGUUCAUUUGGCUGUUCAUUUGGAAAAUGGACAACGUGUUUAUUUUACUAAUUCAAAUGUGGAGCAGAGAGCGGCACAGCCACCAGCAACAACAUUAACUGCAUUUUUCCAAUUGUGUGAAAGUGAUGAAUUUGCAGGAACAUUGCUGUUUUCGGACGUACCACACUAUUUCAUUUGGACUGCAAAAAAAUGGCAACGACGAAGAGAAGCCCCAGUUGAUGGUCAUCCAGGCGUUUUAUAUGAAGAUACUAUGAGAAGGUUGUACACAGUUCAUCCAAACAACGCAGAGUGCUUUUAUAUGCGACUGUUGUUGGUAAACGUUGAUUUGUGGAAUAAAUAUAAAGGUUUAAUGGCCGAAGACUUUUUAUAUCGAAUGCGUCAUCACACCAGAAAUGUAGAUUGAAGAUAUGUGCCUUGCGAUGGCAAAUAAAGCAUAUGGUCAAUUAGGUAUGCCUUCACCGAAUAGUCCAAUGCAUGAUUUGUUUGAUCGAGAAUUGCAACGUGAACAACAGUACAAUAUCAAUGAAUUGCAAACAUUUGUGAAUUGGAAUUUAACCAAAUUGAACGACCAACAAAAACAUUUUUACGAUACCAUUAUGCAAGCAGUGCAAAAUGAUGGUGGAUUGUAUUUUUUGGAUGCGCCUGAAGGUACGGGUAAAACAUUUGUGGUAUCGUUGAUUUUGGCAGCCAUUCGGUCACAACAAAAAAUUGCAUUGGCACUUGCUUCGUCAGGAAUUGCUGCUACUUUAUUGGAUGGUGGACGAACAGCACACUCAGCAUUAAAAUUGCCGUUAAAUGUGCAGGUUAUUGACAAUCCCACAUGCAACAUAUCAAGAAAUUCUGGAAUGGCAAAAGUUUUGCAGCAAGCAGCAAUUAUUAUAUUGGAUGAAUGUACAAUGACCCAUAAAAAAUCUCUGGAAGCAUUGAACAGAACAAUGCAAGAUCUACGUCGCAAUCAACAAAUUUUUGUCAGGAGACUUCCGACAAACAUUGCCAGUCAUUCCAUAUGCAACGUUAGCGGAUCAGGUCAAUGCGUGCUUGAAGUAUUCUUUCCUGUGGCAAUAUGUCCAAAAAUUGACAUUGAACAUAAACAUGCGUGUUCAAUUGCACAAUGAUCAAUCUGUUUUCGAAACAAUUAUUAUAAAUCGGAGUUGGCAAAGUUCCAAAUACAAAUGGCUUGAUCAUUUUGCCAAACAAUUUUUGUACAAUUCUACAAUCUAAAUGCGAAUUAAUAGAAAGCGUUUUUCCAAAUAUAAUUCAAAGUCACGAUUGGUUGACAGAACGAGCAAUAUUGUCACCAAAAAAUGUACAUGUCAAUAAAAUCAAUUUACACAUUCAAAAAAAUUGCCACUGGCGCACUGACAUCAUAUAAAUCUUUUGAUAGCGCAAUGAAAGAAGAUGAUGCAGUGAAUUAUCCAGUAGACACGCCUGGUAUGCCACCGCAUUUUUCGAACUUAAAAAUCGGCUAAUCAAUUAUUUUACUACGGAAUUUAAAUGCACCAAAAUUAUGCAAUGGCACAAGAUUGGUUGUAAAAAAAUUGAUUAAUUUAAUUGAAGCCACGAUAUUGACUGGAAAAGCGAAAGGAGAAAUGGUGCUCAUACCGUGUAUUCCGUUGAUACCAACGGACAUGCCGUUUAAAUUUAAGCGACUGCAAUUCCCAGUGCGUCUAUCAUUUGCCAUGUCCAUCAAUAAGGCACAAGGACAAACGCUUCAAGUAUGCGGGUUGAAUGUGGAAGAGCCGUGUUUUUUCUCUUGGGCAGCUAUACGUAGCCUGUUCAAGAGUUGGCAUUUCAAACUCUUUAUUUGUAUUCGCUUCAAAUGGACAAACGAAAAAUAUAGUUUAUCCAAAUGUUUUGGAUUGAAAAUAACAAUUUUCAAAUAA